rfam:Euryarchaeota archaeon TMED85 89368, whole genome shotgun sequence.
GCCUGCGUGGCCAAGUGGUAAGGCACCUGAUUUGUAAUCAGGCGAUCGGGGGUUCGAAUCCCUCCGCAGGCU